UCGAAGGCGAUAUAGGAGUUCUGGUUCAUCGGCGGCGGCAGAGAGGCGACUUCUCUUUGGCUCAAUCUUUGCGGCUUCGCCUCAUCGGCUUCUUUGACUCUCAUUUUCACUCUGAACUCGACGACGCCUUCAUUUGUCCAACAUUUUACGCAUCAACCUCUUUCAUUGUAAAAGCUCAUAAAUCAUCAACCCGAAUUCUUAGCUACCUUCAAGCUCGAUACUUUUUUGCGAAGAGAAACCAUGGCUACUGCAUCUGGAUUUCGUGCCAACUGUUUUCGACAAUUUCAGUGCAAAUGUUGUUGUGAAUGGAAGCACUGUUAACUUGGGAUUAUGGGAUACAGCCGGACAGGAGGACUAUAACAGGUUAAGACCCUUGAGUUAUCGUGGGGUAGAUAUUUUUUAUACUGGCAUUCUCUCUCAUUAGCAAAGCUAGCUAUGAAAAUGUUUCCAAGAAGGUUAUGCUUUGUUUUUGUAUGGGCAGUUACAAUUUAUUAUAACAUUCAUUUGGAGUUGGUAAUCCCAUUAAUGCCCUGAUGUCUCCCAUCACAUUUUUUAUGUUUCUUCUCUAGUGGA